GAAGAGGCUUCUUCUUGUGCAUGUGAGGCUGGUUGCAGUGGACUGUUCUGCUGAACCCUGGGCCUUGGAUUGGGUGAGGGUCUUGGCCUUCGUCUGCGCUUGGUCUUAGGCAUCCGAAUGUGUAGAUGUUGCUUAGUCUCAGUUUUGACCUUCUUCUACCUCUAGCCAUUCUCUUACUCACAAAUAUUGAAUCUUUUUUUAUCAAGAACUCUUCUUCUUCAUCAUAAUGGAGAGAGAGAGAGACAAAACCGUCUGUUCAGCAAGAAGCUGAGAACUUGACGGCAAUGGCAGAUCAAGACACGAAAAAAGAAGCAGCUUUCUCUUUCUCUCUCAGAUUAUUUUGAAUUUACUCAAAUUUUCUCCAGAUUCCAGAUGGGGUUUAAAGAGAAAGACUUGUGAUUUUCACUCGCUUUUUCUUUCUUUCUUGCUUGCUCACACACGCACAAUGAGAAUCUGAACGAGUGCAAGGAUCUUUCGUUGUUGCUUCCUCUUCCUCGUCUGCUUCGUCUUCUUUUUUUUUGAAAGCUUCUUCUUCUCUAUGAUCUCUCUAAUUAACUUCAACGAUUAACGAUAAAAAUAAUGUUUCUUUGUUGUUUCUCUAUAUUACUAUUAUUAUUUUGUAGAUGAACUCUCAUUACUCUAUCUAUACCCACACAAAAAAAAGUCAUCACUGAAUUUCAAAAAAUAAAAUAAAAAAGAUCAUCAAAUUGUUAAUUGAGCUGAAAGUUUAAUACAGUUUGUGGAGUUUUAUUUAAAAAAUUAGAGAAUUUAUUUAUGUAAAUCGAUCGGUCGUAUUAUUUUCAUUCAAUCAAUCUGGUCAUUCUUUGAUUUGGUCAAACAAAACAAACGCUUCUUCCACUCCAUUUUUGUGUAAGAUAAAAAACGUUGAUUUAUUAUAGGUUUAAAUUUAAUCAUUCCUAUAAGUGCCGACAACUCUUAAUGAUCGAUCGGUAGAUUAAUGUAAGUAGCCUUGAAAAAUAAGUAAAUAACUCUCUUUUUAUAAUACGAAGCGAGAUCGCGGGAGUGGGGGAGUGGACUGAACCAAUACGCACCGUUUUAUAUUUUAAAAUGUCAUCUUUUUAAAUAAUUGUUUAUCUUCUAGGAAAAAUUGUUUUUUUGUAAUUUUUAUUGUAUUCUAAAGAGCAUCGAGUAAAUUGUACUACUAUCACUGCACCACAGAUAGAAAAUCAUGCUCCGUAUAUGGUUUUCCGAAACGUUGAUCUCCUAAAAAGACAUAAAUAAUUUCAUUUAUAAGUUUUAUAGUAGGUUUUUUUUAUCAUUAAUCGAACCAAUUCAAUCAAAACUCUGUAAACUAAAUUAAAAAUAUUAUGUAUAUAUGAAUGAUAUAGGACGGCUAAUAUUUUACACCACAUACAAAAUGUCUGUAUUUGUAUUUUGCACCUGGGAUACAUAUUUGAUCACGAAAAUACUAAACCUUCAAUAUAUUUUCGAAAUUCUUGGUAUAUUGUAAAAGCAUCAUUCAUCUUAUUCAUAAAUCUUCUUCACUAAUAUAGAACAAUUUUGCAGAAACCAACAAAAGUGGAGAUCAUAUAAUGAUAUUAAAAUUAAGAAUACAAUGCCUAGCUAACAAGAUGAGAUGUGGGUACGGUUAUGGUAUGCAUAGGUCGAUAUCCAUUCCUUGAUAGUUUAAUUCUUGCCAAGUUUUGUUAAAAAUUUGAAAAUCAGAUAAUUGAUUUGAAUGUCAUUUUUUGAAUGUUUAUACGCACAUCAAUACACUUUUAUAACUAAAUAUAUGGUCUUCUUUCUUUCUGGUCCCGAAUAUAUUUUUUCUUUUAUGGAAUUAUAUGAAAGUAUGACGAUAGAUGGAGACAUGACAUUGCCUGGUGUGACAUCCAAACAGCAAAUGUAUGGACAAAUUGAAUGAAUAAACAGUUAAAAAGACUGCCACUUGCCAAAUCAAGCAUGGCUCAAAAUAUUAGUAAUCCUAAUCAUGUUUCUACUCUCUCUAUCUUUUAUCCAAAUAUGUUUUAAAUUAAAUAUUUUUACCUUGAAUAGAUCAUAAAAUGUUUGAAAAAUAUACAAUAUAAGUAAAUGGCAGAAAAAUCGUGAAAAUAUAUAUAAUAUUUUAAAAUCACGUCAACUUUUGUUGCUUACAAAUAAAACAGAAUGGAUGAUCAUUUGCAUACCAGUAUAUAUCAAAAUAAAUGGCUAUUUAUAGCUUAAUAAAGAGUGAUUAGUUUUUUUUGAACUAAACUAAUGACAUAUAUAUAUAUAUAGAUAUCUCUUUAUAUAAAGUAAAAUUAGGUUGCAAGGAUAAUCACAUGGGAUCACCCUCCAUGAUUCUAUGGACCUUUAUCGAGUGUUUCGCCCAACACUAUGUACUUCCUUUUCCCGUGCACAAUGUUGACCUACUUUGCACUAUUUUACUUAUUCUUCGCCCUACUUUCCUAUACAGUACUAUAAUAUGACAUCUAUUAGAAGAAUUGGUAAGUUUACAUCUACUGGUUUUAGCUGUAUAUUGGAACCAUUAAGAAUCAUCGUUUUCAUCAAUCCAUUGUUCAAUUAGGUGAACAUAGUUAGUUGCAAAGAUUAUGUAUAUAUAGGAAACAUAGUACAUAGAGCCUAGAUAUAUACUAGCAUUUUUUAAUUAUUGGAGAAAUUAAAUAAAUACAACCAAAAAGUUGAAAAUGAGUUUAACAAAGAAAAAACUUCAAAAACAUAACUACAAGAACAUUUGUGAUUGUGUCGAAGGCAUCGACAUAUGUAAUUUCCAUACAAUUUCCGGACUAACUAUAUCACUAAACCAGAUAAUAUCAAGUGUUACGAUUUAACAUGUUGCUAUAUAACUGGUUAGAUGUGUCUCAUUUCUUAUUUGAGUUUUUACAUGUCAUAAUCACCGAGUAGAUAAUUACAAAUACAUACAUAUCGUCUAUAUUAACGAAAUCAAUGAAUAUACAUAUUAUAUAUAUACUAUUAUAUAUUAAUCUCUUAUUACAUCCUUUUAAAAGAAACUAAGUAGCAUUCGUUUUUGUUAGUGUAAGUAACAAGUAAACACUAUAUAACUACAAAUACUGUAUUAGUGUAGUACUAAGUUUAGAUAGAUCAUAAGAUAAAUGCACAUAUGAUUCAGAAAACCCGUUGUAUUAAUGAUGGAUUCUUCUUUCGCCUAAUAUCCUACAUUUUCGUAUAGAUUGGGAGUCGUUAAGAAAUCGAACGGCCAGGUUUUAAACGUGAGAGGAGAUGGUAGUAUGACCCACAUAGAGGCGUCCCAUAACUAUUAACCAUUUAUUAUGGCAUUUUCUGUUCAAUUUGUAGUUGGAUAUAUUUAAUUGAAUACGUGUUUUCAUUUCAAAUUUUAUAUGGGUAUGUCGCAUUAGGAUCAAGGUGACAAAAAACAGAGAGACAUCCAUAUUUAAAUUAUUAAUGAAGUUUCGAAGACUUGUAAGAUUUCAAUUGUAUCCUACUCCCUCCGUUUUAGAGCAAAAUUUUCGUUUCAAAAUUAAUGUCGUUUUAUGAUUUUAAUGCAAAAUUUAUUGACUUUUUAUUCUAAUUUAUUUUUCUAUUGGUUAAAAUUUGAUAAACUUAAAUGUUUUAUUAAUAUGUGUAUCGAAGUCUAAAACGAUAAAUAAAAUGAAACGGAGUGAGUAUUAUUUAUUAUAUUUUAAAUUAUUUUCCCACUUACAAAAAGAAACAUUGAAGAAAUCAUUAAAAAUAAAUAUAUAUGUGUAUGAAUUUUCAUAAUACAUUUAAGAAAAAAAACUUUCAUAAUACGGCACAUUGGAGUGCUAAAAUAACUGUAAAUGAUGUGAUAGAUCUGAAUUUUAUAUUAUCUACUUUUUUUGUUUGCUUUAAGAAAUGAGGAAUUUUAACCAGCACAUCACAGCAAUAACUUUAUAUUAUCUAUUUUUUUUUUAAUAUUGGAUAUAUUAUGCUAUUACAAAUUCGGAGAAAUAUUACAGACGAUUCUACAGUCGAUAAUUCUACAUGCCUUACGAAGAUUCACGUCUGACUACAUCACCUACCCUUGACGAUAUUCCUUACGCCGUACUGCAAAUCUCUUGUAAAUCUUUCUCCAUUAAUUCACAUAAUUCUAUUUUUUCUGGGAAUCGAAAUCUAGAUCUGGUGGUGUAGAAACAUUAAUGAACCAAGGGGGCUUCCACAUUAUAUUAUCUACUUAAGAAAAGCCUUUGAUGAUUUAAAUUUAAUUUGUUGGACCAGUCAAGUUGUGAAAAUAUCGUUUCACUAAUCGCACUCAUCAUUAAGAUUUACUUUAGAAUAAAUGUGAGAUAAUGGUGACAAUUAAUUGUUGACUUUGUUUAGUUUGAUUGUGACGGGAAUGUUCAAAUAUCCAAAACACAUGCACAAAGCAAAAACCAUCACAUUGACACAACAAGAGCGUUAAGACAAAUUAUCAAAGAAAAAAGAAGCAUUAAGACAAACCUAACGGAGACAAAACAAAAGGAUGUGCUUGGUUUUUGGUAUGUUGCUUAUCUUAAAGUCUCUCUGUCACUCUCUUCUCUUUUACUUUCCAACCCCAAAGUUUAAAACAAAUGGACGUAUUGUUGACUUGAAUUAUUGCGACGUGCUUGCAGAUUGCUUUUCGUUUGUGUUUUUUCUUCUUUCUUUAGUCGUGUGUGAUUUACGUUAGAAUCAUUACAAUCGUUGAAAUUUGUAAUUAGUGUAAUAAAAUUUCACAAUUUUAUUUUUUUACCAGAAACAAAAAUUCACAGUUUUUAGUUUAUUUCUCAAUUUAUUCUACAAUUAUAUGAAAGGAAAACAAAUAUUGGAAUCAAAUAAGACAUUUAGAAGAAAAAACUUAUGUUAAACUAAGAGAAAGAUGAGAAAUUAAACUAUUUCAUAUAUAAUAUCAAAGAUUUCACAUCUUGAUAAAUAAUGAUGUCUCAAGCUUAUGAAAACAUCAGAAGAAUUGAACAAAUAUAAAUGGGUCAACCUUCAUUUGAGAUCUU